rnacentral:misc_RNA from 1 species
CGCGCGCACUCACUAUUCGUAGCUGUGCGCCGUCACCAUUACGGCUCGCCGCUUGCAGUUUGUACGCGCUGGGCUCUUUUGGAUUUAUUUUCGCCUGUUAUACACCACUUUGGAGCAAACGCGAGCAGCGACAAAAGCACUUCCAACGCACUGCAGUCGAGAUGUCGUCCUUGAAAGAUGCGCCAAGCCUCAGCCCCACGUCACGCAAGGGCUUCUCAUUCGCCGCCAUAGAUUACGAUGACGACUACACUGGCCCAGUGGAGACGGUGGAGGAAAUACACCCCCCCUCCAAGUCCACCAGCCGCUCAAAGAAGAAUAAGGCUCGAGACUCGAAAAAACCGAAGAAGAAUAAAGGGGCGGCACCUGUUUCUGAGGUGGACGAGCCCGUUUCCUCCUCAUCUGUGAAGAAGACAUCCGGCAGCAAACCUGUCGCCAUGUCGGACAAUCAAGGCGAGGACUACGCCGACGACUUCGAGGAUCCAGUGGACAGCGACGACUACAUCCCUUCCGUCGGCACGUCGCCACCCGCGGCAGCCCUAAGGCCGGUCACUAAGUCGAAGGCACUUAUGGCCGACGUAGAGGCAGAAGAGAAGCGACUGUACGCUACGGUGCAGGAGCAGCUGCGCCUGGAGAAGGAGGAGGUGAUGCAGCGCAUCGCCAAGUGGGAAGCUGACCAGGCGCAAAAAGCAGAGGAAAUGCGGCAGCGCGAGGAAGAGCUCAAGCGGCAACUGGCUGCGCAGCAGCAACGAGAGCAAGAGGUGAAGCAGCGUCUCAGCGACCUUGUGGAGCAACAGGUUUCUCAACAUGUGGCAGCCGCAAGCGCAGCAGGCAAGGCUGCCGCGGCACCCACGAAUACGGCUACACACCAUGCGGCCGCGAAGGCGGUCGAGAAUGACGAAACCGAGGAUGCGGAUGAACAAGGGACUGGUGUUUCUAGAGCGGAGCUACAGCGCCGCCGCCGCCGCGAACACGAGCGUGCCGUCAGCCUCCGCCGCGCUGAGGAGGAGGAGGCGGCUCACGCGCUCUUCCAGCGCCUCGCGCAAGAUGUACGUGAGGUGUUUCACGAACUUAACCUCUCCGUCGUUGCGGCUGAAAAAGAGCGCCUCAUCAAGGAUGAGCGCUAUCGCCGCGAGCGAGAGCUACGUGACCGACGCGAGGAUAUGACACGCGCGGAGAAGCUGGAGAAGGAGCUGAAGGAACGUGAGGAGCGGGAGGCGAAGUUUUGGGCCAUGGUCGAGCAGAGGGAUGAGAAGUUCCGCGCUUUUCUGGAAGAGCGUAUGAACAAGGAUGAGGAGGAAAGAGAGGCGCGACUAAGGCGCGACCUCGAGGAUCGUGCGACGCGGUUGCGCAAUGAGAGAGAGCUGCGCGAGGAGAUGGACAAGAUGGAGAAAGAGCGGCGCGCCAAGGCAGAGGAGGAGUCGCGUCACCACGAUGGCCUCGUGCUCACGGCGCAGAUAGAGGAGGUGAGCGCUCGGUACCGUGCGCAGCUGGAGGAGGUGAGGAGGCAGAUGGAGGCCGACAGCUUGCGCAAGGAUGAGCUACAGAAGGCAGAACUAGCCAUGAUGGCGAAGCGUCACGAGGCUGCGCUGGAGCAGCUGCAAAGGCAGCACGCGCAGCAGCUCGCCACGAUGGAUGGGCAUGCCGGCAACGUCAGUCGUAUCGAGGCACUGGUGGCAACGAUGCAGGAGACAAUGGAAGCUACGAAGGCCAUGAACGAGAAGCUGUUGGCGGAGCGCAUGUCAGUGCUGAAGCAGAAGGAGCGUCAGCUGGACGAACGGCAGGCCGUGCUGGACGCGAUGGUUGCAGAGAUGAAGGCAAACCAGGAGACGGUGGCGGCUGAGCGAGCCCGUGUGGCCGGCCUGUACGCCAAGUUCGAGCUCGCUUUAUCUUCCUUCAGCAAGAACAGCGAGGAGGACCGUCGCACCUUUCGCGAGGCCCACGCCCACUACGACACCCUCCGCCAGCAAGCGGAGAAGGACCGUCGACUCAUGCUAGGCGAGGUGGCACAGGAGCGCAAGUUGCUAGAGCAGCAGUUUGAAGAGUUCCUCGCGAAGAAGAUGGAGGCGAUGGCGGAGCUGCAGAACGAGCGGAUUGCGAUCGCGCGAGAGCGGGCAGAGGCGUCCAUGGUGCGGGAGCGACAAAAUCGCGACGAGACAGACCUCCUCAAGGCUCUGCGCUCUCGUGAGGAGGAGUACAAGAUGAAGCUGGAGUCCAUAGAGUCCGACCGGGCCACAGCGUGUCACAUGAAGGACGAGCACAAACGCCUGUGCGACGCCGCAGCCGCAGAGCGUCAGGCACUUCAGCAGGAGCGCGAGAAGUUUGAGCUCGAAAAGAAAGAGCUGCUAAGCCGCUUUGAAGCCAUUCGCCGUCAGGCCGAGGACGCUGCCAGCUCCCAGGAGCGCCUGCGGAUUCAGCUGAUGGGGGAUCGCAGCGACGCCCUUGACGGAAACGGAGCCGCCGUUGGGUUGCUGCGCGGGGGGCCGCUGGUGUGCAAUGCAGCCUCCCGCUUUCAAAUGGAUCUAGCACGACAGCGUGCAGUGCUCCAGAACAUAAGCUGAAAAUUCCUCUCCGUGCGCACUUUUCCUCCCCUCUUGGGACAAAGACAGGCUUUCCCACACCAACAUCGUUGCAUCAGUGUGCCCGGUGCGCUGCACCCGCCCCCCCCCCUCCGCCCGCCUCACUUUGCUGUGAGUUCUAUGCCCCGACGCUUUCCGCCAAUACACUCACUCAUCUCCGUUAAAGAUGAUGGCGACGUAGGCAGUGGUAACCCCGAGACGGGCCGAUGGGAACCGUGAACCUUGGAAGGCACACUUACCCCUCUGCUUCCGCGAAUGAGUCAAGACGCGCAUAGACGCUGUACAAGAUGACCAAUGAAUCGGGUCUCUCGUCUUCCGCUCUUCCUUCUUUCUCCUCGAUGAACAUGCAGGAUUGUCAUGAAGAGGAGGGUGCACAGAGAAGGGGUAGGGGCACCGAAGUGGAGGCCAAUCCGACCGGUAGGUAUGCGCAUUCACCUGCUUGUAUUCGGUCUCUCUCUAGAUGGCUUCCCUUCGCAUAGAAAAGAUUGUGAGAGGCAUUUGUGCACACAAAUGUGUGGCUGUGUGUGCGUGCGCGCGUUCGCUUACGAGUGUGCCGUGCCGCAGCAUUACCAAAACAAAAA